CCUACGGGAGGCAUCAGUGAGGAAUAUUGGUCAAUGGACGAGAGUCUGAACCAGCCAAGUAGCGUGAAGGAUGACUGCCCUAUGGGUUGUAAACUUCUUUUAUAUGGGAAUAAAAUGUUCCACGUGUGGGUUUUUGUAUGUACCAUAUGAAUAAGGAUCGGCUAACUCCGUGCCAGCAGCCGCGGUAAUACGGAGGAUCCGAGCGUUAUCCGGAUUUAUUGGGUUUAAAGGGAGCGUAGAUGGGUUGUUAAGUCAGUUGUGAAAGUUUGCGGCUCAACCGUAAAAUUGCAGUUGAAACUGGCAGUCUUGAGUACAGUAGAGGUGGGCGGAAUUCGUGGUGUAGCGGUGAAAUGCUUAGAUAUCACGAAGAACCCCGAUUGCGAAGGCAGCUCACUGGACUGCAACUGACACUGAGGCUCGAAAGUGUGGGUAUCAAACAGGAUUAGAUACCCUUGUAGUC
rnacentral:rRNA from 1 species